rnacentral:rRNA from 1 species
UACGUAGGGCGCAAGCGUUGUCCGGAAUUAUUGGGCGUAAAGAGCUCGUAGGCGGCCUGUCGCGUCUGCUGUGAAAUCCCGGGGCUUAACCCCGGGCGUGCAGUGGAUACGGGCUGGCUGGAGGCAGGCAGGGGAGAACGGAAUUCCCGGUGUAGCGGUGAAAUGCGCAGAUAUCGGGAGGAACACCGGUGGCGAAGGCGGUUCUCUGGGCCUGUUCUGACGCUGAGGAGCGAAAGCGUGGGGAGCAAACAGG